CUUAUUUUCCUGGUCGUGCUCCAUAAGGUGGAAUGAAUCUCGGUAAAGGCUUCUCUGGUUUGCCCAUGACAGCGGGAACAUGACAGAAACUGUAUUUGAUGUCGCGUAAACAUGAGAGAUUCACCCUUUGUGUCACUAAAAGGCGUAAACGGGACAUCAAUGCAAACGGGAGGGAGGCCAAGACAACAGGGUAAGGAAAGAAAACGUAUGAAAAGUUCAGUGUUCUGCCGAUUAUGAAAAGAUAUCAGUGAUAUCAUCUCGGGAGGUAAUUAGGCUUUAAUUUCAGGAGAAGCAGCAAGCAGUCGAGAGGGGCAACUGGUGACACUGACGCUCGUCUGAGCUUUGUGAAAAGCACCGGCAGAAGCGCCAGGAGGGAGGCACAGCGGAGGGUGCUCCAUCCAGGGUCCGGCUUCGGGAGAGCCAGCCCAGAAAAGAGGAGCCCCGCCAGCCACCCAUGCACCUUCUCCUCGGUUUGAUGUCUUCCGCGGUAUUUAAACUACCAUUUCCACUUCCACAAACACCCAAUUAAAGCGAAAGACCUCAUUAGACAGAAUUUGGCAGAUCACUUCUAUUUUACUUCCUCACCACUUAACGCCAGCGUUAAGCUCCCCUGCAGCACACAGGCGUUUGUGGAAGGGUCAAACCCAGCUCAGAAAUUGCUACCACCGCCAUCCAGACAAGAAGGGUCUCCUUUCUUGUACGCCCUUAACCUCCUUUCAUUGCUGCUCAGUAACCUGCUGCACGGGGAUUUCUAAAAAGAGAAGAUUAGACCAGAUUAUUUUUUUGCCUAUCCUCACUCCCAGCCUUUGAAAGGACACCGAGUCCUGCAGGCUGAACUGAAGACCAUUCCCAAGAACAGAAAGUGAAAAUUCGAUCUCUUCUUGCCGAGACGACUUGUGAUUUACACUUCUCUCCCCAUUUCUUCUCCGUAUGUCUUGUUUCCCCAAAGACAGGCUGCUGAGGAAGGUAGGUGAGUAGAGGUGAAAAGGAGGAGGUCAAGCUGAAGGGGUGAAAAGAAACUCCUGCUAUCUGCUAAAUUAUCCGCAGUUAUCCGUACUUGAGGCAGUCACCUCAGCUCUCGCUUUCUGUUGUAAAGCUCAGCGGAGUCCCCAUCGUGCUUUGCUCCGGGAGCUCCAAAACAGGAGAAACAAACCCAACUGAACCCUCUUGGCCGGCUCAGCCUGAUGAGAAAAAAUAGUUUAAAUGCCUUCCACCAUCUCCGCGGUCCGGGGGGCUCAAGGCACGGCCUCGCUGGCUUGUGUUUGCCGGGCACGGAGGCUGAGAGAGCUCCAGAACUACCCAGCUCCUGCCCUAGGUGUGAUGGUACCUCUGCUCAGCUCUUCUCCUCCAGCCUUUGCAGAAGCUCUGUCUUCCCCAGGAGAGGCUUUUGCCAGCCCAUCUCCUUCCAGAUAUAAGCCAAAAUAGAGUUAGCAGAUGGAAACACCGGAUUUGCCUUGCCGUGAUGCCAUCCAGAGGCUGGAGGGCUCCGAGGGGAGAUCCUGCCCCACGCAGCAGAGGAGCUGAUACCUUACAGCUGCUCCGCAGGGAUCUCGGAGGCUCAUUCAGCCCUGCCUCUGUAUUUACUUUUCACAGGUUUUAUGGCAGCCGCUGUGCAUUGCAACAAGUCUUUUUUUGAAUUUUUCCCCAGGAAUUCACAGCAGGUGGAGGAUGCUCGCAGGAAAAAAGGCAGGCUCCAGGGAAAAAAAACAAAACAACAAAACCUCCACCUCUGCCUGUCGUGCCAUCUCCAACGGAGGUAAAGGCAAUCCUGCUAAUUAUUGCAUACAUUAAAAUCUUUACAAGCGCAGAAGCCCCUCCAUGAGUCCUGCCGUCAGGUUUAGCGGUGCCCUGCGUCCCAAACCUUUCAGGGCAGGCCAGCUUCAGGCGUAUCAUGUUUUUCCAGGCACACCACUGGAAGUAACAGGAAAACAACUGUCUCAUUGUUUAGAGCAUCCCUAAAUAUUGCCAGUAAGGAUCUGGUCAACUUUCCACAAAGUCUGCGGCUUUUGAGAUUUUUUCCAUCAGGGUGAUUUAUUUCAUCAAAACAGCUCUCGGGCCACCAGCUGUUAAAGCACUUGUGGAAAGGGCCAACUCAAUUCUCAUUAUUCACUGCAGGUUUCCCUUAAUAGAAUCAAACUGGUUAAUAAGUGCUAAUACCGGUAAUACAGCUCUCUGUACUUUGACCUAAAUUCUCCUCCUGCUCCCGAGGGGGUGGACACAGGAGGAGCUCUGCAGCGUUUCCUCCGGUGCACGGACAGCAAGGAUUAACCCAUAAAGGCGGCAAUCCUCAGCCGCUGUGUUUUGGGAGCCUUUUGCGGUCUAGGCUCUGUCGUAUCAGUAUGGCAGGGUACGUGGCCUCCUGCAGCCAAGGCAGUUCCCGAGGUCCCCAAGCCUGUUGCCACCUUCACCCCAGGCAGAACCUGCAGCAGCGACGGACUUCGGGCACACCGCGGCUGCCCCAGCUGGGUGGUCGGGCGCCCUUCAAUAUCCCCUCUCCCCAUUGCCAUGCCCCUGUUGAG